AGUGUUUGAUCCUGGCUCAGGAUGAACGCUGGCGGCGUGCCUAAUACAUGCAAGUCGAGCGAGAAUCUGAUGAUCUGAGAUUCGUCAAAGAGAAUCAGAGGAAAGCGGCGGACGGGUGAGUAACGCGUAGGCAACCUGCCCUUAGCAGAGGGAUAGCCAUUGGAAACGAUGAUUAAAACCUCAUAAUGCCACACAUACACAUGUGAGUGUGGCCAAAGAUUUAUCGGCUAAGGAUGGGCCUGCGUCUGAUUAACUAGUUGGUGAGGUAACGGCCCACCAAGGUGACGAUCAGUAGCCGACCUGAGAGGGUGAUCGGCCACAUUGGAACUGAGACACGGUCCAAACUUC
rnacentral:rRNA from 1 species